AGAGUUUGAUCAUGGCUCAGAUUGAACGCUGGCGGCAUGCCUUACACAUGCAAGUCGAACGGUAACAGGUCUUCGGAUGCUGACGAGUGGCGAACGGGUGAGUAAUACAUCGGAACGUGCCCGAGAGUGGGGGAUAACGAGGCGAAAGCUUUGCUAAUACCGCAUACGAUCUCAGGAUGAAAGCAGGGGACCGCAAGGCCUUGCGCUCACGGAGCGGCCGAUGGCAGAUUAGGUAGUUGGUGGGAUAAAAGCUUACCAAGCCGACGAUCUGUAGCUGGUCUGAGAGGACGACCAGCCACACUGGGACUGAAACACGGCCCACACUCCUACGGGAGGCAGCAGUGGGGAAUUUUGGACAAUGGGCGCAAGCCUGAUCCAGCCAUGCCGCGUGCAGGAAGAAGGCCUUCGGGUUGUAAACUGCUUUUGUCAGGAAAAAAAUCUUCUGGGUUAAUACCUCGGGAGGAUGACGGUACCUGAAAAAUAAGCACCGGCUAACUACCUGCCCGCCGCCGCGGUAAUACGUAGGGUGCGAGCGUUAAUCGGAAUUACUGGGCGUAAAGCGUGCGCGGGCGGUUGUGCAAGACAGGUGUGAAAACCCCCGUGCUCAACCUGGGAACUGUUCUUGUGACUGCACAGUUUAAAGUAAGGAGAGGAGGAAGGAAUUCCCCGUCAACGUGACUUCCCAUUCUUCCCUAUGAACCCCCGC
rnacentral:rRNA from 1 species